rnacentral:rRNA from 1 species
GACGAACGCUGGCGGCGUGCCUAAUACAUGCAAGUCGAGCGCAGGAAACUGACGGAACUCUUCGGAGGGAAGGCAGUGGAAUGAGCGGCGGACGGGUGAGUAACACGUAAGGAACCUGCCUCAAGGAUUGGGAUAACUCCGAGAAAUCGGAGCUAAUACCGGAUAGUUCAACGGACCGCAUGGCCCGCUGAUGAAAGGCGCUCCGGCGUCACCUUGAGAUGGCCUUGCGGUGCAUUAGCCAGUUGGUGGGGUAACGGCCCACCAAGGCGACGAUGCAUAGCCGACCUGAGAGGGUGAUCGGCCACACUGGGACUGAGACACGGCCCAGACUCCUACGGGAGGCAGCAGUAGGGAAUCUUCCACAAUGGACGAAAGUCUGAUGGAGCAACGCCGCGUGAGUGAUGAAGGUUUUCGGAUCGUAAAACUCUGUUGUAAGGGAAGAACACGUACGAGAGGAAAUGCUCGUACCUUGACGGUACCUUACGAGAAAGCCACGGCUAACUACGUGCCAGCCGCCGCGGUAACAC